UACGUAGGGUGCGAGCGUUAAUCGGAAUUACUGGGCGUAAAGCGUGCGCAGGCGGCUUUGCAAGACAGAUGUGAAAUCCCCGGGCUCAACCUGGGAACUGCAUUUGUGACUGCGAGGCUAGAGUGUGGCAGAGGGGGAUGGAAUUCCGCGUGUAGCAGUGAAAUGCGUAGAUAUCGGGAGGAACACCUGUGGCGAAAGCGGCUCACUGGACCACAACUGACGCUGAGGCGCGAAAGCUAGGGGAGCAAACAGG
rnacentral:rRNA from 1 species